rnacentral:misc_RNA from 1 species
GAUGAAGAACGUAGCGAAAUGCGAUACUUGGUGUGAAUUGCAGAAUCCCGUGAACCAUCGAGUCUUUGAACGCAAGUUGCGCCUCAAGCCAUAGGUUGAGGGCACGUCUGCCUGGGCGUCACAUAUCGUUGCCUGAUGCCAGUUUCCUCGUGAUGGGUGACUGUGCAGGGCGAAUGAUGGCUUCCCGUGAGCAUUGUUGCCUCAUGGUUGGUUGAAAAUUGAGUCCUUGGUAGGGAGCGCCGUGAUAGAUGGUGGUUGAGUGACGAACGAGACCCAAUCAUGUGAGACCCCUACCGAAUUUGGCCUUCAUGACCCACAUGCGUCUUUGGAACGCUCAUGACGAGACCUCAGGUCAGGCGGGGCUACCCGCUGAGUUUAAGCAUAUAAAUAAGCGGAGGA